rnacentral:lncRNA from 1 species
GUGCGCUUCAUCCCUCGGGAGAAUGGCGUUUACCUGAUUGACGUCAAGUUCAACGGCACCCACAUCCCUGGAAGCCCCUUCAAGAUCCGAGUUGGGGAGCCUGGGCAUGGAGGGGACCCAGGCUUGGUGUCUGCUUACGGAGCAGGUCUGGAAGGCGGUGUCACAGGGAACCCAGCUGAGUUCGUCGUGAACACGAGCAAUGCGGGAGCUGGUGCCCUGUCGGUGACCAUUGACGGCCCCUCCAAGGUGAAGAUGGAUUGCCAGGAGUGCCCUGAGGGCUACCGCGUCACCUAUACCCCCAUGGCACCUGGCAGCUACCUCAUCUCCAUCAAGUACGGCGGCCCCUACCACAUUGGGGGCAGCCCCUUCAAGGCCAAAGCCCCCGUCUCGUCAGCAACCACAGCCUCCACGAGACAUCAUCAGUGUUUGUAGACUCUCUGACCAAGGCCACCUGUGCCCCCCAGCAUGGGGCCCCGGGUCCUGGGCCUGCUGACGCCAGCAAGGUGGUGGCCAAGGGCCUGGGGCUGAGCAAGGCCUACGUAGGCCAGAAGAGCAGCUUCACAGUAGACUGCAGCAAAGCAACAACAUGCUGCUGGUGGGGGUUCAUGGCCCAAGGACCCCCUGCGAGGAGAUCCUGGUGAAGCACGUGGGCAGCCGGCUCUACAGCGUGUCCUACCUGCUCAAGGACAAGGGGGAGUACACACUGGUGGUCAAAUGGGGGGACGAGCACAUCCCAGGCAGCCCCUACCGCGUUGUGGUGCCCUGAGUCUGGGGCCCGUGCCAGCCGGCAGCCCCCAAGCCUGCCCCGCUACCCAAGCAGCCCCGCCCUCUUCCCCUCAACCCCGGCCCAGGCCGCCCUGGCCGCCCGCCUGUCACUGCAGCCGCCCCUGCCCUGUGCCGUGCUGCGCUCACCUGCCUCCCCAGCCAGCCGCUGACCUCUCGGCUUUCACUUGGGCAGAGGGAGCCAUUUGGUGGCGCUGCUUGUCUUCUUUGGUUCUGGGAGGGGUGAGGGAUGGGGGUCCUGUACACAACCACCCACUAGUUCUCUUCUCCAGCCAAGAGGAAUAAAGUUUUGCUUCC